rnacentral:rRNA from 1 species
UACGUAGGGUGCGAGCGUUGUCCGGAAUUAUUGGGCGUAAAGAGCUCGUAGGCGGUGUGUCGCGUCGGCCGUGAAAACCUGGGGCUUAACUCUGGGCGUGCGGUCGAUACGGGCAUCACUGGAGUUCGGCAGGGGAGACUGGAAUUCCUGGUGUAGCGGGGAAAUGCGCAGAUAUCAGGAGGAACACCGGUGGCGAAGGCGGGUCUCUGGGACGGUACUGACGCUGAGGAGCGAAAGCGUGGGGAGCGAACAGG